UGAAAAUUCACACGUAAAAGUGAACUUCCUUUCCUUUAUCUUAUCAGUUAUGUUUAUUUUUGAAUCCAGAAGUGCUCUUAUACAACCAAACGGUUGUUGUCUACCACCAAAUCAUCCGUAGUGUAUUUUAUUUCAUCAGUUAAUUACCACUAAUAAAUCUCCAAUGUUUUCCAAUUAAUUACUUUAAGCGCUAGGCCCGUUGAGUACAUGAGUUUGCUAAUAGUUCAUAACUUCUCGUCUUCGGUUACUUUCGCAAUUUACUGUAAUCUCAAUUUGUCACCUGCAAAUUUCCUGGUACGGUAUUCGAGUUCCAACAUGUGGAAUAUUCAGAUAUAGAUACAUUUCAUUUAAUUGAUAUAUCAACAUUUCAGAUCUGCAACUACUGAUUCUGACAGCGACAUUAUUCUCAGGGGACGUGUAAAAUUUCUGCAGUGCCUGUUCUUUGUUCCAGUCACGACACAAUUCAGUGGAGGAUUUGAGUUAUUGCUGUGCGAAUCUCUCUCAGACAGCAAGUUAACUUGACUUCAGACGUUUGAACUUCCCUUGGGAAGCAGUAAAUUACUGCGGGAUUCGAAACUAAAUUGAUGCGGAGUCUUUUGGGAGAGGUUAGCUCUGAGAGUUCAUGAUGUUGCUCUUUAUCGUAACAUUGAAUACACGUUAAGCACAUCGCCACUCGGGUGUUAAGGUAUCGGGUUCCCCAUCCAAAGACUAGUCAAAAACUUGCGAAACCAACGCUCAGAAUGAAAGGAACCAGAACUAUCCAUUUACUAAAAGCUAUCAGAAGGAGUAUGCUACUUAGAUGUGUGAAGCUUAAAAAGAAUGAAACUGGAUGGAUGACUUGGCAUCAACCUUGGCACCAGAAAUGACAGCAGCAAACUCAGCCCUGUCAACCCUGUACACCUUAAGGUCAAGUGGCUCCAAAAUACAAAUUGCCUUCAUUGCAGCUGCUUUAAGUUGUGAAACAGAUGGAAUGAGACCCAAUUUUGAAGAUUAAAGUUUUGCAACCCCUCUUAGUUUCACGAACCGGUCAUUGCCGAAGACUGGAGCCUGCCGAAGACUGAGGCCUUCUCCAACUUCC